rnacentral:rRNA from 1 species
GUAGGGUGCGAGCGUUGUCCGGAAUUAUUGGGCGUAAAGAGCUUGUAGGCGGUUUGUCGCGUCUGCUGUGAAAGACCGGGGCUUAACUCCGGUUCUGCAGUGGGUACGGGCAGACUAGAGUGUGGUAGGGGAGACUGGAAUUCCUGGUGUAGCGGUGAAAUGCGCAGAUAUCAGGAGGAACACCGAUGGCGAAGGCAGGUCUCUGGGCCAUUACUGACGCUGAGAAGCGAAAGCAAGGGGAGCGAACAGGAUUAGAUACCCUGGUAGUCCAUGCCGUAAACGUUGGGCGCUAGGUGUGGGACUCAUUCCACGAGUUCCGUGCCGCAGCUAACGCAUUAAGCGCCCCGCCUGGGGAGUACGGCCGCAAGGCUA